ACUCAAAGGAAUUGACGGGGGCCCGCACAAGCGGUGGAGCAUGUGGUUUAAUUCGACGCAACGCGAAGAACCUUACCUGGGCUUGACAUGGCCGGGAAAGCCUCUGGAAACAGGGGCCCUCCUUCGGGAUCCGGUCACAGGUGCUGCAUGGCUGUCGUCAGCUCGUGUCGUGAGAUGUUGGGUUAAGUCCCGCAACGAGCGCAACCCUCGCCUCUAGUUACCAGCGGGUCAUGCCGGGGACUCUAGAGGGACUGCCGGUGCCAAACCGGAGGAAGGUGAGGACGACGUCAAGUCAUCAUGGUCCUUACGCCCAGGGCCACACACGUGCUACAAUGGCGGGGACAGCAGGUCGCGAGCCGGCAACGGUGAGCCAAUCCCCAAACCCCGCCUCAGUUCGGAUUGUCCUCUGCAACUCGAGGGCAUGAAGCUGGAAUCGCUAGUAAUCGUGGAUCAGCUACGCCACGGUGAAUACGUUCCCGGGCCUUGUACACACCGCCCGU
rnacentral:rRNA from 1 species